GAGUUUGAUCCUGGCUCAGAGCGGACGCUGGCGGCAGGCCUAACACAUGCAAGUCGAGCGGAUGUAGCAAUACAUCAGCGGCAGACGGGAGAGUAACACGUGGGAACGUGCCCUUUGGUUCGGAAUAACUCGGGGAAACCCGAGCUAAUACCGGAUAAGCCCUUACGGGGAAAGAUUUAUCGCCAUUGGAGCGGCCCGCGUCUGAUUAGCUAGUUGGUGAGGUAACGGCUCACCAAGGCGACGAUCUUUAGCUGGUCUGAGAGGAUGAUCAGCCACACUGGGACUGAGACACGGCCCANACUCCUACGGGAGGCAGCAGUGGGGAAUAUUGGACAAUGGGCGAAAGCCUGAUCCAGCAAUGCCGCGUGAGUGAUGAAGGCCCUANGGUUGUAAAGCUCUUUUACCCGGGAUGAUAAUGACAGUACCGGGAGAAUAA
rnacentral:rRNA from 1 species